rnacentral:rRNA from 1 species
UACGUAGGCAGCAAGCGUUGUUCGGAGUUACUGGGCGUAAAGGGUGUGUAGGCGGUUGUUUAAGUUUGGUGUGAAAUCUCCCGGCUCAACCUGGGAAUGGCAAUGGAUACUGGCAAGCUAGAGUGCGGUAGAGGGUAGUGGAAUUCCCGGUGUAGCGGUGAAAUGCGUAGAGAUCGGGAGGAACACCAGUGGCGAAGGCGGCUACCUGGACCAGCACUGACACUGAGGCACGAAAGCCAGGGGAGCGAACGGG